GAUGAACGCUGGCGGCGUGCCUAAUACAUGCAAGUCGAGCGAACGGACGAGAAGCUUGCUUCUCUGAUGUUAGCGGCGGACGGGUGAGUAACACGUGGAUAACCUACCUAUAAGACUGGGAUGACUUCGGGAAACCGGAGCUAAUACCGGCUAAUAUUUUGAACCGCAUGGUUCAAAAGUGAAAGACGGUCUUGCUGUCACUUAUAGAUGGAUCCGCGCUGCAUUAGCUAGUUGGUAAGGUAACGGCUUACCAAGGCAACGAUGCAUAGCCGACCUGAGAGGGUGAUCGGCCACACUGGAAGUGAGACACGGUACAGACUCCUACGGGAGGCAGCAGUAGGGAAUCUUCCGCAAUGGGCGAAAGCCUGACGGAGCAACGCCGCGUGAGUGAUGAAGGUCUUCGGAUCGUAAAACUCUGUUAUUAGGGAAGAACAUAUGUGUAAGUAACUGUGCACAUCUUGACGGUACCUAAUCAGAAAGCCACGGCUAACUACGUG
rnacentral:rRNA from 1 species